rnacentral:rRNA from 1 species
AGUGAACGCUGGCGGUAGGCCUAACACAUGCAAGUCGAACGGCAGCACAGUAAGAGCUUGCUCUUACGGGUGGCGAGUGGCGGACGGGUGAGGAAUACAUCGGAAUCUACUUUUUCGUGGGGGAUAACGUAGGGAAACUUACGCUAAUACCGCAUACGACCUACGGGUGAAAGCAGGGGAUCUUCGGACCUUGCGCGAUUGAAUGAGCCGAUGUCGGAUUAGCUAGUUGGCUGGGUAAAGGCCCACCAAGGCGACGAUCCGUAGCUGGUCUGAGAGGAUGAUCAGCCACACUGGAACUGAGACACGGUCCAGACUCCUACGGGAGGCAGCAGUGGGGAAUAUUGGACAAUGGGCGCAAGCCUGAUCCAGCCAUACCGCGUGAGUGAAGAAGGCCUUCGGGUUGUAAAGCCCUUUUGUUGGGAAAGAAAAGCAGCAGGUUAAUCCCCCGCUGUUCUGACGGUACCCAAAGAAUAAGCACCGGCUAACUUCGUG